rnacentral:rRNA from 1 species
GAUGAACGCUAGCGAUAGGCUUAACACAUGCAAGUCGAGGGGCAGCAUGGUCUUAGCUUGCUAAGACUGAUGGCGACCGGCGCACGGGUGCGUAACGCGUAUGCAACUUGCCUCACAGAGGGGGAUAACCCGUCGAAAGACGGACUAAUACCGCGUACGCUCCAGCUUGGGCAUCCAAGCUAGAGGAAAUGAAAUUCGCUGUGAGAUAGGCAUGCGUCCCAUUAGCUAGUUGGUGAGGUAACGGCUCACCAAGGCAACGAUGGGUAGGGGAACUGAGAGGUUGAACCCCCACACUGGUACUGAGACACGGACCAGACUCCUACGGGAGGCAGCAGUGAGGAAUAUUGGUCAAUGGGCGAGAGCCUGAACCAGCCAAGUCGCGUGAAGGAUGACUGUCUUAUGGAUUGUAAACUUCUUUUGUAGGGGAAUAAAGAACGGUACGUGUACCGUAGGAAUGUAC